UACGAAGGGGGCUAGCGUUGCUCGGAAUCACUGGGCGUAAAGGGUGCGUAGGCGGGUCUUAAGUCAGGGGUGAAAUCCUGGAGCUCAACUCCAGAACUGCCUUUGAUACUGAAGAUCUUGAGUUCGGGAGAGGUGAGUGGAACUGCGAGUGUAGAGGUGAAAAUUCGUAGAUAUUCGCAAGAACACCAGUGGCGAAGGCGGCUCACUGGCCCGAUACUGACGCUGAGGCACGAAAGCGUGGGGAGCAAACAGG
rnacentral:rRNA from 1 species